UACGUAGGGUGCAAGCGUUAUCCUGAUUUACUGGGUUUAAAGGGUGCGUAGGUGGGUUGGUAAGUCAGUGGUGAAAUCCCCGAGCUUAACUUGGGAACUGCCAUUGAUACUAUCAGUCUUGAAUACCGUGGAGGUCGGCGGAAUAUGUCAUGUAGCGGUGAAAUGCUUAGAUAUGACAUAGAACACCAAUUGCGAAGGCAGCUGACUACGCGAGUAUUGACACUGAGGCACGAAAGCGUGGGGAUCAAACAGG
rnacentral:rRNA from 1 species